rnacentral:rRNA from 1 species
AGUGAACGCUGGCGGUAGGCCUAACACAUGCAAGUCGAACGGCAGCACAGUAAGAGCUUGCUCUUACGGGUGGCGAGUGGCGGACGGGUGAGGAAUACAUCGGAAUCUACUUUUUCGUGGGGGAUAACGUAGGGAAACUUACGCUAAUACCGCAUACGACCUACGGGUUAAAGCAGGGGAUCUUCGGACCUUGCGCGAUUGAAUGAGCCGAUGUCGGAUUAGCUAGUUGGCGGGGUAAAGGCCCACCAAGGCGACGAUCCGUAGCUGAUCUGAGAGGAUGAUCAGCCACACUGGAACUGAGACACGGUCCAGACUCCUACGGGAGGCAGCAGUAGGGAAUAUUGGACAAUGGGCGAAAGCCUGAUCCAGCCAUACCGCGUGGGUGAAGAAGGCCUUCGGGUUGUAAAGCCCUUUUGUUGGGAAAGAAAAGCAGCAGAUUAAUACCCCGCUGUUCUGACGGUACCCAAAGAAUAAGCAACGGCUAACUUCGUG